rfam:Agrilus planipennis Contig31247, whole genome shotgun sequence.
AUUUCACUGUUUCGCUAGUAACAAACCAGUACAGCAUCCUGCGGAAAGCAUCUACUCGAAUCCUAGAGCCUGAGGUAGAGGGGUUUUAGUCGGUAGGUCCGAGGACUUCUCAGGAAUCCGACACUACCCAGUCGUACGGACGGGUGGGUGUCUUUUGAAGAUUUACCCUCUUCCACGAAA